UACUCGAGUGGCGAACGGGUGAGUAACACGUGGGUGAUCUGCCCUGCACUCUGGGAUAAGCCUGGGAAACUGGGUCUAAUACCGGAUAGGACCGCACUUUAGUGUGUGUGGUGGAAAGUUUUUUCGGUGUAGGAUGAGCUCGCGGCCUAUCAGCUUGUUGGUGGGGUAAUGGCCUACCAAGGCGGCGACGGGUAGCCGGCCUGAGAGGGUGUACGGCCACAUUGGGACUGAGAUACGGCCCAG
rnacentral:rRNA from 1 species